rnacentral:lncRNA from 1 species
GACCUGCAGCUCUUCUAGUUUCUGGAGGAAGGACUUUCACUUGCUGAACGUGAGAUGGGACAAUCCAUGCAUCUUCCGGGACACCAAUAGGAUUUAUGCUUUCCUCAUAAAUCGAUCUCCAUGAAGCAGUGGUGUACAUGUCGUCAGUGAGUGUGUGUGCUUGUAUGCCUACGCUGAAAGCUACUUUUAUGGCGUGUCUGCAUGGGAUUUUCAUCAGAUCGAAUUUCCCACAUGAACAUAUGCGUCUGACCAAGUCGACCAUACAUUCAAAAGUGUCACCUCGAACC